AGCAGUGGCGGCCGAACAGGGAC
rnacentral:misc_RNA from 1 species